rnacentral:rRNA from 1 species
CCUACGGGUGGCUGCAGUGGGGAAUAUUGGACAAUGGGGGGAACCCUGAUCCAGCCAUGCCGCGUGUGUGAAGAAGGCCCUCGGGUUGUAAAGCACUUUCAGUGAGGAAGAACGCCUGGUGGUUAAUACCCAUCAGGAAAGACAUCACUCACAGAAGAAGCACCGGCUAACUCCGUGCCAACAGCCGCGGUAAUACGGAGGGUGCGAGCGUUAAUCGGAAUUACUGGGCGUAAAGCGCGCGUAGGUGGCUUGAUAAGCCGGUUGUGAAAGCCCCGGGCUCAACCUGGGAACGGCAUCCGGAACUGUCAAGCUAGAGUGCAGGAGAGGACGGUAGAAUUCCCGGUGUAGCGGUGAAAUGCGUAGAGAUCGGGAGGAAUACCAGUGGCGAAGGCGGCCUUCUGGACUGACACUGACACUGAGGUGCGAAAGCGUGGGUAGCAAACAGGAUUAGAUACCCUAGUAGUC